UUAAGAAUCUUGCGCAAUGGGGGAAACCCUGACGCAGCGACGCCGCGUGGACGAUGAAGGCCUUCGGGUUGUAAAGUCCAAUAAGCAGGGAAGAAUAAGCAACGGGUAAUAUUCGUUGUGAUGACGGUACCUGCCUAAAGCCCCGGCUAACUACGUGCCAGCAGCCGCGGUAAUACGUAUGGGGCUAGCGUUGUUCGGAAUUAUUGGGCGUAAAGCGCGUGCAGGCGGUCUGGUAAGUUGGAUGUGAAAGCUCCUGGCUCAACUGGGAGAGGUCGUUCAAUACUGUCAGACUAGAGAGUGGGAGAGGGAGGUGGAAUUCCGGGUGUAGUGGUGAAAUGCGUAGAUAUCCGGAGGAACACCAGUGGCGAAAGCGGCCUCCUGGCCCAUUUCUGACGCUUAG
rnacentral:rRNA from 1 species